GAUGAACGCUAGCGGCAGGCCUAACACAUGCAAGUCGAGGGGUAGCAGGAUUAAGCUUGCUUAAUUGCUGACGACCGGCGCACGGGUGCGUAACGCGUAUGCAACCUACCUUAUACUGGGGUAUAGCCCGGAGAAAUUCGGAUUAAUCCCCCAUAGUACUAAUGAAUCGCAUGGUUUAUUAGUUAAAGCAUUGCGGUAUAAGAUGGGCAUGCGUCCUAUUAGCUAGAGGGUGAGGUAAAGGCUCACCAUGGCUACGAUAGGUAGGGGGCCUGAGAGGGUGGUCCCCCACACUGGUACUGAGACACGGACCAGACUCCUACGGGAGGCAGCAGUGAGGAAUAUUGGUCAAUGGGCGCAAGCCUGAACCAGCCAUGCCGCGUGCAGGAAGAAUGCCCUAUGGGUUGUAAACUGCUUUUAUUUGGGAAUAAACCUCUUUACGUGUAGAGAGCUGAAGGUACCAAAUGAAUAAGCACCGGCUAACUCCGUGCCAGCCGCCGCAGUAA
rnacentral:rRNA from 1 species